UACGUACUGUGCGAACGUUAUUCGGAAUCACUGGGCUUAAAGGGUGCGUAGGCGGCCGUUUAAGUAGGGUGUGAAAUGCCUCGGCCCAACCGAGGAAUUGCGCUCUAAACUGGGCGGUCUUGAGUGAGAUAGGGGUGUGCGGAACUUCCAGUGGAGCGGUGAAAUGUGUUGAUAUUGGAAGGAACACCGGUGGCGAAAGCGGCACACUGGGUCUCAACUGACGCUGAGGCACGAAAGCUAGGGUAGCGAACGGG
rnacentral:misc_RNA from 1 species